rnacentral:siRNA from 1 species
UGGUCCCAUGCCAUUUCGAGAA